rnacentral:misc_RNA from 1 species
UUGGGGGCAUGCUGCCGUGAGGCGGCUCCCCUCAAAUGCAUCGGUUGGACCUGCGGGUCGGACUCGACUGGGCGUUGUACCAUCCUCGCUCGACUGAGAAGUUCCCCUCUUGCGUCCUCCCACGACCUUGCCUCUGGAGUGGCGGUCAAUGUAUUUUGAAAUCUGACCUCAAAUCAGGUAGGACUACCCGCUGAACUUAA